GUUGCAGGCUCUUUUUUUAUGCUGUUCAGUAUUCCAAAAAGAAGUGCCUUUGGAUCCAAAGCAGUGGGGUGAAACAGUUACCUGCAGCAGUCCUGAAGAGGUGUCUUUACGUGGGCAGCGCCCCUGGUACAGUUUGUGUGUGUCCAGUGGCUUUGGUGGGAGAGCUGAAUUGUACUGGAACGCAAGCCAGGUACUCUCUCAGGGUGUGCUAGCAGCUGUCAAUUUGGUAGGUGGUGGGGCUUGAGACGGAGGAGCUGGAGCCAGAGCCAGGUGUGAGCUCCGGCCACUUCCAGGAGGCACGAAUCAAAAGCAUUUGAAGACUACCCAUGCUAUCCAUGGGCAGAUGGGUCAAGCAGCAGACAGAACCAACAACCUAGAUGGGAGGAGGCUAUGGAGGAGGGUCCUUGGGGGAAUAAGGGCUUCAAAGGGCUCCCUAGUGCAUUUGCACGCCAAACCCUGACACGAGCUCAGAAGAGAACUGACAACACUCAGACUUGCACCACUCCUUGGGCUCCAAGGUGAAAGCUGGAGGAGAGUUGCAGGCAGCCCGGCUGAGCGCUGAAGGAGCAGCCCAAAACCAACCUGCAGAGUGUGGGAGGAGAUCUUUUUGGUGCUGGGUGUUUAAGGAAAUCUCUGUCAUUGGCUCACCGCUGAAACGGUGGAACAGAGAUUCUGUCGAUCACACAUGACAAGGAGUACACUCUUUCCGAAAAGAGUUUCUAAAAGCCAUUUAAAAAGUGAACAACUGCAGCCCUCAAGAAACAACAGCAAACCCUGGGGAGGGAGGAAAAAGUGAUUUCCAGAGUUACUGGGUUAUGGUAUUCAGAAUGUCCGGUGUUCAACAAAAAAUUACAAGGCUUACGAAGAAACAAUGGUAAAGGUAACUAUAUAAAUAAAUCUUGGUGUGUUACUCCUCUUUUUAUUUAUAUGACUUAAAAGACAAGUGCAUAAAACUGUAAUUAUAAAUCUAAUGUUAAUGGGGAUACAGUAUUCUAAGAUGUAAUUUGUGAUGGCAACAAUAACAGCAUAAAGUGGGAGAGAGGACAGAGCUGUAUAGGAGCAGGGUUUUUGAGAGCUGAUGAAACCAAGUAUCGAUUCAAACUAUACUGUCAUCAAUUCAGGAUGGUAAUUGUAGUCAUCAGAAUAACCACUAAGAAAAAACUUAAAAACACACAGAAAGGAAACAAGGUGGGAAUUGAAAUGAUACAUUAGCAAAACCAAAUCAAACACAAAAGAAAACAGUUUUGGAAGAAAUUGGGGGAAAAAGAUGAAACUCGUAGAAAAUAAAUGGAAAUAAGAUAGAAAUAGGUACUCCCUAAUUUAGAAGUCGCUUUAUAUUUAAGUAGAUUAAAUUCACCAGAGGUAUUGGCAAAAUGGAUUAUAAAAGCAUAAGCCAAUUAUAUACUAUCUACAAGUGACUCAUUUUAGAGCCAAAGUCACAAACAGAUUGAAAGUAUGGAAACAUAUUUUCCAUGCAUUAAUAACCAGUAGAAAGCUGGCAUGAUAUGUAUAGCUGAUUCACUUUGUUAUAAAGCAGAAACUAACAAACACAUCACUGUAAAGCAAUUAUACUCUA